GAUGAACGCUGGCGGCGUGCCUAAUACAUGCAAGUCGAGCGAAUGGAUUAAGAGCUUGCUCUUAUGAAGUUAGCGGUGGACGGGUGAGUAACACGUGGGUAACCUGCCCAUAAGACUGGGAUAACUCCGGGAAACCGGGGCUAAUACCGGAUAACAUUUUGAACCGCAUGGUUCGAAAUUGAAAGCCGGCUUCGGCUGUCACUUAUGGAUGGACCCGCGUCGCAGUAGCUAGUUGGUGAGGUAACGGCUCACCAAGGCAACGACGCGUAGCCGACCUGAGAGGGUGACCGGCCACACUGGGACUGAGAAACGGCCCAGACUCCUACGGGAGGCAGCAGUAGGGAAUCUUCCGCAAUGGACGAAAGUCUGACGGAGCAACGCCGCGUGAGUGAUGAAGGCUUUCGGGUCGUAAAACUCUGUUGUUAGGGAAGAACAAGUGCUAGUUGAAUAAGCUGGCACCUUGACGGUACCUAACCAGAAAGCCACGGCUAACUACGUGCCAGCAGCCGCGGUAA
rnacentral:rRNA from 1 species